UACAGAGGGUGCAAGCGUUGUCCGGAUUUACUGGGCGUAAAGAGCGCGCAGGCGGUCGUUCAAGUCGCGUGUGAAAGCCCCCGGCUCAACUGGGGAGGGUCACGCGAUACUGAUCGACUCGAAGGCAGGAGAGGGAAGUGGAAUUCCCGGUGUAGUGGUGAAAUGCGUAGAUAUCGGGAGGAACACCAGUGGCGAAGGCGACUUCCUGGCCUGUUCUUGACGCUGAGGCGCGAAAGCUAGGGGAGCAAACGGG
rnacentral:rRNA from 1 species